CUUCUGGUGUUUUUCUUUGUCGUCCCAGUGAACCUGCCUCGUUGUGCACCGCAGCACAUCUACACUCCUGAAGUUCACGAGUUCACAAGCGAGCCGCAGCAGCACUGGGCUGUUCAACAGGUGCAGGAGACUCUGAGCUCAGCAGACAACCAGAAGCAGAUGCUGGGCAAGUUUGCUCCCGUGUUAUUGUGUCCUGUUGAUGCUUUCAAACUCUGGUCUGAUGUAGUUUUGUCCCGCAGGUCUCAGUCUCUUCCCGCUGGUGCAAGACGCGGUCGGGCCGCUGGCGAAUCAGAUCACGGAGAUGCUGCUGGAAACGGAUGAGUCUGAGCUGCUGCAGCUUCUGCAAUGCCAUCAGUCUCUGUGCAUGAAGGUGAACGAAGCGCUUGCAGUUCUUCAGUCUCAUCAGCAGUUCAGCAGCCCUGCUAUUCCAGCCGUCUGAGACAGAUUCAAUCAUUAUAAACAUUAAUAUAUGUGAAAAAUUCCAUUUAAAUUCAUUUAAUAAUUCAAUGUCUAUUAAAAAGAUCGUUCUCCAUAAAUAAACCAAAUAUGUAUGUUUUUUCUGGUUUGCUUUUUGCAAGGCAUUUCUAUUUAUUUUUUAAUCACAAUGCCACACUUCAUUUUCUACAUUAGAGUUCAAGUUGAGAGGAGGCGGAUGUAACCUGUGCCAUAAAAAGCUAAAUCCAAGCAGUUUUCGCUGGGUGCUAUGAUUAGUGUCGUUUCAUUUAAUCUAAAGUACUUUAUCAGCAUUAUUGUGUUUACAAACAAUAUUCCCAAAGCACACU